rnacentral:tRNA from 2 species
CAUUGAGAAGCUAAACAGCAUUAACCUUUUAAGUUAAAGAUUGGGAGCCCAACCUCUCCUCAAUGA